rnacentral:misc_RNA from 1 species
UGUCGCUUGAAGCUCUUCCAUCUAACAAUAAAGGAAAAGAUGAACAUGUGUUGGCCCCAUAUUGUUUUUUGGUCUUAAAUGAUGAGCAUUUUUGAAAAAGCAUGCUUGUCCACUCCCUAAUCCUUCCAUAGGACACUUACAUAUUUUAAGUAAUUUGGCAGCCAAUUAAAAACGUGAAACACAGAAUUCAUUCAUGUCAUGUCUACUUGAUUAACAGAAUACAGUAAUAAUCAGCAUAACAUUUUACAGAUUACAGAAUAAAAAUGAAAAGAAGAAAGUAAAGCAACAGUCCAGAAAUUUAGUGCCACUAGAUGUCUGAACAGUUGCCAACAUUAAGAAAAUCUUCUCUAGUUCCCGAUAUACUUUGUGUUCAAUAAAUGUAAUGUCAGUACUGUUGCUUUCCAGCCAAUUUCAACUCAUAACAGAGAUCAUGAGACCCUCCUUACUAAGGAGCUUAAAGUUUAAUUAAUUUUACCUUUAAGCCAAUCAUUAUGGUUCCACACUUAUGAAAGCUUGGUCAGUUGAGAGGAAAAUUUGAAGUAAAGGGAUAAAUGCAUACCCAAUAUUUGGAUUAUCAAA